rnacentral:lncRNA from 1 species
UGUCCGCAGUGCAAAACGUCGCAUCUCUUAAGGCAAUUAGUGUCUGUCCGAAUUCUUGGGGAAGCUGAGGAAACCAGGGCUGUGACUGUAAUAUUCUGCUGUACCUAUGAUCUGUGCCCAUGAUGCUCUGCUGUAUCCAUGAUGCUGUGCCCAUGAUGCCAUGUCAUGCUCUCUGUACCUUGCCAUGCCUGUGACACUAUGCCCUCUCCCUGGGAUUCUGCAGUCUUCCUGGCUGCUCUAGAAGCCAGGGAGAUUCCACCCCAUGUAAAAUGCUCCUGGGGUGGCCUGCUGACCUGGAUUCUCCUCUCAACAUCUUGAGCCCAACCACCUCUGCUGUCAAACUACACAUGGCCCAGGUGACUUCUCUCACAAAUGGGAGAGGGAAUCAGAGCAUUUCAUAGUCAGAGCAGAGGCCCUGGGGAGAUGCCCAUCUGCAGCAGACUUGGGACAACUGAUCCAAUUCAAGUCCAUCAUUGUGCAGAGUGGGAUUGUGAGCCUCAGAGUGGAGAGAAGAUUCAUCCAACUGUGGGUUCGGUGCCAGCCAGAGUGGGACUCCACCCUGACUCCCAGUUCAGAGCUCAUUUUGGUGGG